rnacentral:ncRNA from 1 species
UGGUCCUAGCCUUAUAAUCAACUAUUACUUAACUUACACAUGCAAGUCUCCGCACCCCUGUGAGAACGCCCUUUUUUCCUUCCGGAACAAGGAGCUGGUAUCAGGCUCAAAUAUUAGCCCAAAACACCUAGUUAUACCACAUCCUCACGGAAACUCAGCAGUGAUUAACCUUGAAAAUAAGCGACAGCUUGAUUCAGUUAAAGUAAAAAGAACCGGCAAAUCUGGUGCCAGCUGCCGCGGUUACACCACGAGGUUCAAAUUGAUUAUCUUCGGCGUAAAGCGUGGUUAAAGUAAACAAAAUUUUAGCUAAAUUAAAUUUAGGCUGUAGAAAGCUCUUAUUUAAGAAAACCAAAACGAAAGUUACUAAAAUCAAAAUCACUUGAAUCCACGACAGUUGGGACACAAACUGGGAUCAGAUACCCCACUAUGCCCUACUAUAAACUUUUAAUUACAUAAUAUCGCCAGGGGACUACAAGCAAAGCUUAAAACCCAAAGGACUUGACGGUAUUCCAUAUCCAUCUAGAGGAGCCUGUCCUAUAAUCGAUGAUCCCCGUUUAACCUCACCAUUUUUAGCCUAUCAGCCUGUAUACCUCCGUCGCCAGCUUACCACAUGAGUGAACUCAGUAAGUUAAAUGUUCAUUCAUCAAUACGUCAGGUCAAGGUGCAGCAAAUAAAAUGGAAAGAGAUGGGCUACAUUCUCUACUUUUAGAGUAUACGAAAGACUACAUAUGAAAUCUAGUCAGAAGGAGAAUUUAGUAGUAAAAAGACACAAGAGAGCUCUUUUUAACACGGCACUGGAAUGUGUACACACCGCCCGUCACCCUCUUCGAAACAAUUUAAUAUAGUACAUAACACAAUUUUACCUGAGAGAAGAGGCAAGUCGUAACAUGGUAAGCUUACCGGAAGGUGUGCUUGGAAA